rnacentral:lncRNA from 1 species
AUGGAGGAGCCCCCCCAGCAGGUCCUCUUCCUGGGAACAGCCGGCUCCAGGAGCAUAAAUACAACCUCCAUCUUCAGCCCUCCAUCAGAGCUGCUUCACCCCUCCAUCUUCAGCCCUCCAUCAGAGCUGCUUCAGCCCUCCAUCAGAGCUGCUUCACCCCUCCAUCUUCACCCCUCCAUCAGAGCUGCUUCACCCCUCCAUCUUCAGCCCUCCAUCAGAGCUGCUUCAGCCCUCCAUCAGAGCUGCUUCACCCCUCCAUCUUCAGCCCUCCAUCAGAGCUGCUUCAGCCCUCCAUCAGAGCUGCUUCACCCCUCCAUCUUCACCCCUCCAUCAGAGCUGCUUCAGCCCUCCAUCAGAGCUGCUUCACCCCUCCAUCUUCACCCCUCCAUCAGAGCUGCUUCACCCCUCCAACUUCACCCCUCCAUCAGAGCUGCUUCACCCCUCCAUCUUCACCCCUCCAUCAGAGCUGCUUCACCCCUCCAACUUCACCCCUCCAUCAGAGCUGCUUCACCCCUCCAUCUUCACCCCUCCAUCUUCAGCCCUCCAUCAGAGCUGCUUCACCCCUCCAUCUUCACCCCUCCAUCAGAGCUGCUUCACCCCUCCAACUUCACCCCUCCAACUUCAGCCCUCCAUCUUCAGCCCUCCAUCAUGCAUUGUGGGUACCUGUUCUUACUGUCGCUGGCGUUGUGGGCGGAGCAUGCGGCAGGUAGGGUGUUACCAAUGGACUCAACAGACAUGCAGAGCAUCAUCGAGGACCUGCGGGAGGCGCUGCAGGAAUACAAGGCAGCGUUUAACAAUAAGGAUUCAUGUUGGAGCUUGUUGUUUAAAUACAUCUGGUCUGUUUGGAACAGUGUGACCUGAGCGGUACGACCCCGCUCUGCACAGAGACCGCCGCUCCGCUGGAACAGAGCUCCACGGUGGCCCAGAGACUGACUGAGUAUCAGGAGUGUGUGCCGCUCCAUUCUUUCUGUCCUGAUGUCAGUGUUCAUCUGGAUAAAGUCGAAAAACUGAACAUCGACCUGGUGCAACACCUGGUGAGUCUCUGUGCUCUGAUUGGCUGACUUAAAACGUGAUAGAAUUAUUGAUUAAAGAAGUCAGCUGUUUAAAAUAUAGUGUUCUCUAUACCUUUCUGAAAUAUGUGUGUGUGCGUGUUUACAGAAGGGGUUGUACCAAGAGCGCAGUAUCCCCUCCCCCACCUCGCCUUCAGUAUUAUUCAGCUCCGUACAGAAAUCCAUCCAGUGUGUUGACUGCUGGAGCCAGCAGGUGGCAGCACUGAGCAGAUAAAACACACACACACACACACAAAUAAAUAUUAUGAUUUUAAAUAAUGAUAAACUUUUAUUUUGUAAUUUUUACAAUCACUUCAGUGGACGUCCAACAGGAGGUGAUGUUUGCUCAGUGACGUAGAGAAGAAGACUAUUAUUAUUAUUUAGGGUUUUAUUUCCCAUCUUGAAAUACAUUCAAUGUUUUCCAUUUUAUUUAAUUGUCAUCUUAUUAUCUUCAUUAUUUGUCUGAUUUCCUUUAUUUUAAAGCACUUUGUGCUGCAUUUGUUUUAUAAAGGUGCUAUACAAGUGACGUGUAUUAUUAAUAUGAUUAUGAAUAUUAUCAUAAUUAUAAUACUAUUAAUAAUAUGUAAUAAUAAUAAAUAUGAGAAUUGGACGUUAAGGUGUUUAAAGAUCCUUCUUCAGGUUAUUUUUGGUUUCUUUGUAUAUUAAAAUAUAUUUUCUCUAUAAAUCUAGUUCUCAAAAUCACAACAUUUCACAUCUAUAAAUGCAGAAUUACUUUUUAAAGUCACAAUUCUAUAUA